AGCCAUCAAGGUGUUCAUCCACUGAUCAAGGAUGAUUCCAGAACAUUUUGAGGGGCAACUAAACACUACAGCCGACCACUGGAAUGGUUGGCCAGGACUGAAAUGAGGAUUCAUUUUCAGAUGGCCAGCUAUGCCUAUUUUGCAGUGGGUCC
ncrna:unclassified sequences DTF2800 RNA